UACGGAGGGGGCAAGCGUUGUUCGGAAUUACUGGGCGUAAAGGGCGCGUAGGCGGUCUGCUAAGUUGGAUGUGAAAACUCUGGGCUUAACCCAGAGCCUGCAUUCAAUACUGACAGGCUAGAGUUCUGGAGGGGAUAGCGGAAUUCCUGGUGUAGCGGUGAAAUGCGCAGAUAUCAGGAGGAACACCGAUGGCGAAGGCAGGUCUCUGGGCCGAUACUGACGCUGAGGAGCGAAAGCGUGGGGAGCGAACAGG
rnacentral:rRNA from 1 species